rnacentral:rRNA from 1 species
CCUACGGGCGGCAGCAGUGAGGAAUAUUGGUCAAUGGGCGCGAGCCUGAACCAGCCAAGUCGCGUGAGGGAUGAAGGUUCUAUGGAUCGUAAACCUCUUUUAUAAGGGAGUAAAGUGUGGGACGAGUCCUAUUUUGUAUGUACCUUAUGAAUAAGGAUCGGAUAACUCCGUGCCAGCAGCCGCGGUAAUACGGAGGAUCCGAGCGUUAUCCGGAUUUAUUGGGUUUAAAGGGUGCGUAGGCGGCCGUUUAAGUCAGCGGUGAAAGUCUGUGGCUCAACCAUGGAAUUGCCGUUGAAACUGGGGGGCUUGAGUAUGUUAGAGGCAGGCGGAAUGCGUGGUGUAGCGGUGAAAUGCGUAGAUAUCACGCAGAACCCCGAUUGCGAAGGCAGCCUGCCAAGCCAUGACUGACGCUGAUGCACGAAAGCGUGGGGAUCAAACAGGAUUAGAUACCCCUGUAGUC